rnacentral:rRNA from 1 species
UACGGAGGGUGCAAACGUUGCUCGGAAUCAUUGGGCGUAAAGCGCACGUAGGCGGCCUGUUAAGUCGGAUGUGAAAGCCCCGGGCUCAACCCGGGAAGUGCAUUCGAAACUGGCGGGCUUGAAUAUGGAAGAGGGUCGCGGAAUUCCCGGUGUAGAGGUGAAAUGCGUAGAUAUCGGGAGGAACACCAGUGGCGAAGGCGGCUUCCUGGCCUGUUCUUGACGCUGAGGCGCGAAAGCUAGGGGAGCAAACGGG